UGGGCCGUAGCCAAGCGGUAAGGCAACGGGUUUUGGUCUCGUCAUGCGAAGGUUCGAAUCCUUCCGGCCCAGCCA
rnacentral:tRNA from 1 species